GACGAACGCUGGCGGCGUGCCUAACACAUGCAAGUCGAGCGGGGAUUUAAGUGGAAGUUCUUCGGUAUGGAGCUUUAAAUUCUAUCAGCGGACGGGUUAGUAACGCGUGUAGAAUCUGUCCCGGACAGGGGGAUAACACUUGGAAACAGGUGCUAAUACCGCAUAAGACCACUCCCUCGCAUGGGCCUGAUGUAAAAAGAGCAAUCCGGAUCGGGGUGGGUUGGGGUCCGAUUAGCAAGUUGGUGAGGUACCGGCCCACCAAGGCGACGAUCGGUAGCCGGGGUGAGGGGGAGACGGGCCACAUUGGAACUGAGGGAAGGGCCAGGCAACUACGGGAGGUGGGCGUAGGGAAGAUUGGGCAAGGGGCGAGAGCCUGAGAAGCAAUGCCGAGUGAGGGAAGAAGGUUUUCGGAAUGAAGACCUCUGUGCUAUGAGACGAAGGAAGUGACGGUACCAAAGGAGGAAGCCCCGGCUAACUACGUG
rnacentral:rRNA from 1 species